rnacentral:rRNA from 1 species
AAAACUAGCCAGUCUUUUGGGUAUGAAACCCAUUUGGGCGAGAGUAGUACUAGGAUGGGUGACCUGCUGGGAAGUCCUCGUGAAAGGGUUUC